rnacentral:rRNA from 1 species
AGAAUCAACGCUGGCGGCGUGCCUAACACAUGCAAGUCGCACGAGAAAGCGGGAGCAAUCCUGUGAGUAAAGUGGCGUACGGGUGAGUAACACGUGAAUCAUCUACCUUCGAGUGCGGAAUAACUGAGAGAAAUCUUAGCUAAUACCGCAUAAUACCCACGGGUCAAAGCAGCAAUGCGCUUGAAGAGGAGUUCGCGGCAGAUUAGUUAGUUGGCGGGGUAAUGGCCCACCAAGACGAUGAUCUGUAUCCGGCCUGAGAGGGCGCACGGACACACUGGAACUGAAACACGGUCCAGACUCCUACGGGAGGCAGCAGUGGGGAAUUUUGCGCAAUGGGGGAAACCCUGACGCAGCAACGCCGCGUGGAGGAUGAAAUCCCUUGGGAUGUAAACUCCUUUCGAUAGGGAAGAUAAUGACGGUACCUGUAGAAGAAGCCCCGGCUAACUUCGCGCCAGCAGCCGCGGUAA